rnacentral:rRNA from 1 species
ACAGCAGCGCCGCGGUAAUACGUAGGGUGCGAGCGUUAAUCGGAAUUACUGGGCGUAAAGCGUGCGCAGGCGGUUCGUUAAGACAGAUGUGAAAUCCCCGGGCUUAACCUGGGAACUGCAUUUGUGACUGGCGAGCUAGAGUAUGGCAGAGGGGGGUAGAAUUCCACGUGUAGCAGUGAAAUGCGUAGAGAUGUGGAGGAGUACCGAUGGCGAAGGCAGCCCCCUGGGCCAAUACUGACGCUCAUGCACGAAAGCGUGGGGAGCAAACAGGAUUAGAGACCCGCGUAGUCCCUGUCUCUUAUACA